UCGUGUAGCAGAGGCUUGCAACCCCAGAAGAAUUUGCAGGGGCUGCCAUCAAGUGAUAUUAGUGCUAUCUUGGCAGUUGAAAAUUUCAGCACUUAAUCUAUAUCUGACUCCCCUGAUUCAACUGUGAACUCCUUGAGGGUAGGAGAGUGUGCCGGUUUGACUGUGUUAUGUUCCCCAGAAAAAGCCAUGUUCUUUGAUGCAAUCUUGUGGGGCAGAAGUUUU